rnacentral:rRNA from 1 species
CGGAGCCGUAGCGAAAGCGAGUCUUAAUAGGGCGCCAUAGUCAGUAGUAGUAGACGCGAAACCGUGCGAUCUACCCAUGGGCAGGUUGAAGCUGUGGUAACACAUAGUGGAGGACCGAACCCGUUGACGUUGAAAAGUCUUGGGAUGACCUGUGGGUAGGGGUGAAAGGCCAAUCAAGCUCGGAAAUAGCUCGUACUCCCCGAAAUGCAUUUAGGUGCAGCGUGUAGAUAGUUUUAUAGAGGUAGAGCUACUGAUUGGAUGCGGGGGCUUCACCGCCUACCAAUUCCUGACAAACUCCGAAUGCUAUAAAAUGUUUCUGCGCAGUGAGGGCAUGGGUGCUAAGGUCCAUGUCCGAGAGGGAAAGAACCCAGAUCACCGGCUAAGGUCCCAAAGUAUAUACUAAGUUGAUAUAACGCGGUGGAACUGCAUUGACAGCCAGGAUGUUGGCUUGGAAGCAGCCAUUCAUUUAAAGAGUGCGUAACAGCUCACUGGUCGAGCGGUUCCGCAUGGAUAAUAAUCGGGCAUAAGUAUAUCACCGAAGCCGUGACUUCAUAUUUAUAUGAGGGGUAGGGGAGCAUUGUAACUGCGUCGAAGGCGUACCUGCGAGGGAUGCUGGAGCGGUUACAAACGAAAAUGUAGGCAUAAGUAACGAUAAUGCGGGCGAGAAACCCGCACGCCGAAAGACCAAGGUUUCCCCAGCUAUGCUAAUCAGCUGGGGGUCAGUCGGGACCUAACGCGAACCCGAAGGGGAUAGUGGAUGGACAACAGAUUAAUAUUUCUGUACCUGCUCACGCUAAAAGUGACGGAGGCGAGAAGUUGGUGCGUACAGACGGAAUUGUACGUUGAAGGGAGCGGUAACGCCCCGAUAGUACACCGAGGCCACGGCCAAGGUGAUAAUCCAGCAUAUCGACUUCCAAGAAAAGCGAGUGAAGCAGCCCGUACCGUAAACCGACACAGGUGGUUGGGAUGAGUAUUCUAAGGCGCUCGAGAGAUUCAUGGCUAAGGAACUAGGCAAAAUAGACCCGUAACUUCGGGAGAAGGGUCGCCCCCUUAUGGGGGGCCGCAGUGAAGAGGUCCAGGCGACUGUUUAUCAAAAACACAGGGCUCUGCAAAAUCGAAAGAUGACGUAUAGGGCCUGACACCUGCCCGGUGCUGGAAGGUUAAGAGGAGAUGUCAUUCCUUCGGGGAGAAGCAUUGAAUUGAAGCCCCAGUAAACGGCGGCCGUAACAAUAACGGUCCUAAGGUAGCG